rnacentral:rRNA from 1 species
UACGUAGGGUGCAAGCGUUGCCCGGAUUUAUUGGGCGUAAAGAGCGCGCAGGCGGUCGAUUUAGUCGCGUGUGAAAGCCCCCGGCUCAACUGGGGAGGGUCACGCGAUACUGAUCGACUCGAAGGCAGGAGAGGGUAGUGGAAUUCCCGGUGUAGUGGUGAAAUGCGUAGAUAUCGGGAGGAACACCAGUGGCGAAGGCGACUACCUGGCCUGUUCUUGACGCUGAGGCGCGAAAGCUAGGGGAGCAAACGGG